rnacentral:rRNA from 1 species
CUGACCAGCCAGUAGCGUGCAGGAUGACGGCCCUAUGGGUUGUAAACUGCUUUUGCGCGGGGAUAACACCCUCCACGUGCUGGAGGUCUGCAGGUACCGCGCGAAUAAGGACCGGCUAAUUCCGUGCCAGCAGCCGCGGUAAUACGGAAGGUCCGGGCGUUAUCCGGAUUUAUUGGGUUUAAAGGGAGCGUAGGCCGUGAGGUAAGCGUGUUGUGAAAUGUAGGCGCCCAACGUCUGCACUGCAGCGCGAACUGCCCCACUUGAGUGCGCGCAACGCCGGCGGAACUCGUCGUGUAGCGGUGAAAUGCUUAGAUAUGACGAAGAACCCCGAUUGCGAAGGCAGCUGGCGGGAGCGUAACUGACGCUGAAGCUCGAAAGCGCGGGUAUCGAACAGGAUUAGAUACCCUGGUAGUCCGCGCGGUAAACGAUGGAUGCCCGCUGUGGCGCGCCUGGCGUGCCGCGGCUAAGCGAAAGCAUUAAGCAUCCCACCUGGGGAGUACGCCGGCAACGGUGAAACUCA